rnacentral:lncRNA from 1 species
CUUCGCAAUCUGCUUCGGUGGAGCACGCAUGGCCUGAACAGCAGAACAGGGGAAAGUGAGGUGGUUACCUUUUUUUCUCCUCUGGCGCCACUUUACAUCAACGCUAUGGUAUUUGCAUCGGUAUCGGCGUCGCCCUUGUGCCUUUUGCAGCUUAUUAUUCUUCCUAGGGAGGUUAGCUGAGAGAUAGCUAAUAAGUGACAACAAGAGGCUGGAAGCGUGGCUUCGGAUCUGGUCGACUUGUACUUAUGCUGGUGUGCUGCGUAGUAUAGGUACAGCAUCAUCCAGCACGUCAGGUCAGUGUCAGACUACGGGCCCGGAGUGUAUGAUUCGAUUAGAGAAGUCGCUGGCGGCUUCAGUUUAAGGUAACAUUUUUUUCAGAGAGAGAGAUCAGGUUCCCAAUGGUUUGUAGUGUUCUGUUCCAGUAAUCAAAUUCUCUGGAGUAAUCUCACCAUCGUUAUCUACGAUUUGCAGUAAGAGAAGCUUCUAAUUCAGCUUUGGGAGUCGGUAGAGGAUGCCUGGCAACUGACUUUCGAUGCUUGCCGAUGAGGUUUUUCCCAUUAGAAUAUCAGCUGGGAGUUUAUCGCAUCUCCCUGGCCGGCAAGCUAGGCAGCCGUGUUUUGUUUCCACAGCUUCAAAGCGGGUUGCUUUCGAGCUGCCCCACGAAACAUCCAAUGUAUAUGUCCAUAUGGCAUGACAGCCUUGGAUCCUGGCGCGCCGGUGAAUGGCGAUUGGACCUUCGGCAUCGGCACGACGCCUGUCGCAGCAAGCAUUCAUUCAUGCUGUCAAAGCUGUCAGCGUUCACGCAGAGACAUCUGCUUCAAGUUUAUCAACAUGGGAUUCAAGAGCAUAUACCGGUAUCAUUCUUCGAGCUGGCAGCUGGCUGACGUGAAGACUGAGGCCGAAACUUCUGUCCCGUCCCGGUGCGCACCUGACCUGCAGAAGAGGCUGUGCUGUACGUGAGAUAGGUAGAGGGGUCGACGAUGACUCGAUGAGACAGACGGCUAGAAAUCUGGAACGCAAGGCACGACGGAGUACUGGCUUCAGAGGAUCCAUCCUUCCCCCAGUUGCUUUCGCCCGUCGCCAUGCAGCUCCAAUUUCCUUCUUGUAAGUUUCUUCUGAGCAGAUUGCUACUGGCAGCUUGGUCAGUCGUCCGCGACAGUGACACACCGUGCCUUUUCGAAUUUCUUGUGAUUUUGCACAGAGGGUGAGACUUUGACAAACCUGGGCACUGGACACGGCUUUCAAACCAAGAUCUUUUUUUUUUUGCCUGUCUCACUCGUCUCAGUGACGUUCAUUCACCUAAAAGCAGUCAACGAGGCAAGCAUACAGCAUUACUUAUGUAUGGAAGUUGGAAGGCCAUUCUGAUGAUUCCAUUAUUACCUCAGGUACUUGUUGAAACUUUUUUGUAACUUUCAGAUCAGACAGUGUAUUCUGAACAGUUACAAAGUUCUAAUUUUCCCGAAUUCA